UAAAAGCAGAAAAUUAAAUUGAAUAAAAUUGAUUGUGCUCUUUCGCAAUGCGUCGUGUUGCGUGCAACAAUGACGCGCCCUAAGUGUGUGAUGUUCAACUCCAUGAGCGGAUAGCCAGUCUGUCAGCCCAUCGUUGGCGCGCUUGCACAAUUUUCAGCGACAUUGGAAUUUUGUAAAGAACGAAUUAACGAAAAAAAAAACCAAAACGUACGAAAUUUCAGCGUAGAGCUGAAGAAAAUAUUUAAUUGUUUGUUUUUGUAAGCAAUCAAAGUGUGCGGAUCAAAAGUAGGCGUAAAAAAUGGCCAAGCAGCAAAGGGAAGGUAAAAAGAAAGCGCGUCGUGUCCAUUGACUGCAAUUGUUGGCAGUCGUCCGCAUAAAUACCGAGUAACCCGAGUAAGUGACAUUUUCAAGUGAAGGUGGUGGUACUUGUACAACUACAAACACAAUCAAGUGUGCAGUUCCCGUUUCCGAGCUUGCAAGCGCAUGGGUAUUCGUAAUACGAAUAACGGAUACACACAUACACGAAUUUAAAUACAUACACACAUCCACGCAUUGGGAAUCGCGCGAUGUUCAAGACUUUACUUUACGCAAUUUUUGUGCGCAAGAAAAUUACUUCCGCUGCUAAGAGUAAUAGUAACAGUAAUAGCAAUUGCAAUAGCAAUAACAACAAAAACAAAAGCAACAUCGACGCGAACUCCAACAUUAAUUUUGAAAUUCUCAUAGGCGUUGUCUUCUCCAUUUUAAACGCCAACGUGCCCAAUACUCUUGCACUCUCCACAGCCACUUAAGUUGCAAUUCGAGAAGUUAGAAGUUCAGCAACACCCUAAGGAAGUUGCAUACGUAUCGAAUUCGUUGCGGCACGUUUGAGUUACAAAAAAAUCAACUUGAUGUAUCAGUUGUAUCAAUUAUAUCAACGCACACAUAAAGAUUUAACGAAAGUUCAUACAAAAUGGCGAGUAAUAACACCACCCGAUCGACGGCAAGAGAAGCGAUACGAUAAGUGAUAAACCAUGCGAAGUGAUCCCCAUCAAGUGAUUAAAAUAUAUAUAUGUAUGUAAAAGAAGAAAAAAAUAUUUCAUAAAAUUCAGCAAACAAAGCAAAAAUAGUAGAAUAAAUACAAAAUGCUAGAGGUAGUACGAGAAAAGUAGUUUAGAUAUAAAAAAAGAGGUCCUGCAACAAAUAUUAGGGCUAAAAAGUGGAAAAAGGAAAAUAAGUUGUGUUGAAGAAAAAUUAAUAAAAAUAAAUGAAAAUAAAACAGUGAUUACCACUCUCUUACUAACAAUUGCUUCCGCUUCCUUAAGCAAAUAAGAAAUAUUAUUCGUCUCACAUACUGAAAUCAUCACUGGCAGCGCAGUAAAAGCAGCGACUGCCCCAGCAAAUUGAAUUAAAAUUGUUUCGCAAUAUCCAAGCGCACAUUUUCCACAUGCAGCAUCCACUCCCACGAGGUUUGGCUUCACUUUUACAAGAAGCAGUGCAAUACACUCGCAACUUGGAAGUG